GAUGUGGCUAGAUCAAGUUAGGUGAAAGUCCAAUUUUUUGUGGGUCAGUGCUAGCCUGCGAUCCGGCCCAGAGUUUAGUGAUGCUGAGUAUGGUUUUGUGGUCACCUUAAAGGACAGUGCUUUCUGUGAGUACAUGGAGCUCCCCCGUGUCCUUGGUGUCAUUUAGUGCCUUGCCACUCCCUCUAGCAUCCCUCCAAAAAGUGGCCUAACUGCUGGUCCUGGGACCGAGAGCGCCCUCGGUGAAGUUUUAGCGAAUCACGGAGUCGCCAGUGUUUCCAGAGUUCCAUAGAGUUUUAGGGCUGCUCACGGUCAGGACCGCCAUGCCUCAGCGAAUCCCUGGUCUGUACAGCAAGACUCCUGAGCUGCUAGGAAGGGGUGCUGGACUGGGAGGUACGGGCUGGAGGGGCAAUUAGUAGUGCAUAUCGUAUUUUAGGAGAGGUGUGGCAGAUGGGUAGACAUGUACGCGUCCUAGGUGA